rnacentral:lncRNA from 1 species
GACCCUCUACUGGUCUCGUCAGGGGAAAAUAAAUUGUUAAAGUUCUAUUGGGACACCCUGUACAGUCGCAGUCUUGUGAUCCCGUAGGAUACACAUUUCAGUCUAACGCCCCGAAGGACGUACAUAUCAGUCUAACGCCCCGAGAGACGUACAUAUCAGUCUAACGCCCGAGAGACGUACAUAUCAGUCUAACGCCCGAGGGACGUUCAUAUCAGUCUAACGCCCCGAGGGACGUUCAUAUCAGUCUAGUGUUCUGCAGAAACACAUAUCAGUCAAAUGCUCCCGAAGGUGCACAAUAAAUUGGUGAUCCCGUGGGACACCUACAAGGUAAACAUCCCAAUACAACCUAACAAUUUAUCCCCUCAUUCCAUUCAACCCAUCUUUCAGUUACUUCAAAUCACAAAGUCCUUUCUUUCAACAUCCUAACAGUCAACUUAUUUUACUACAAUCAUAUGUCUGUCAGUAAAAUGCUAAUACAUCAGUCAAUCCACUAUACAGUCAAGUCAAUACACCCCUCAGUUCACCAGUACAAACCACAGUUCAGUAUAAUCCACAUCCAACCGAAACAAAUUCACUAGUUCACAUCCAAUCUUUAUACAGCACAAUCUAUUAAUAUCAUCAUGUACACAUAAGCAUAAUUUCAGUCAUUCACAUGUAUACUUUCGGCAAUCCACAUCAAUUCACACAUCAAUGUAUAUAUAUAUUGUUUCCAGUCAAAUACAACAUACACUAAACAUUUAGUCUGCAAUCAAACAUGUACAUCUUAAUCAUCAUCCAUACAGUCCAACACAACUCAAAAACUUUAGGUGAGUCCAGUAGAAAAUCCCUUACCUCACUUUUAUGCAAGUUCUUCAAUCUACUAAGUCCAAUGAAUCAAAUCCUAAACAUAAUCAAUCAUAAAAUCAACAUCUUUCUAAAUAGUUUCAACCAUUCAAAUUACCCCAUAUGUAAAUUCCACAACUUACCCAAGAAGUGGAAAAUCAAGUCCACUUCAACCUUUUGGAAAAUCAAGGAUUCGCUCACUGAAUCAAGAUGUACCUUCAAGAAUUAAGCAUUUCGCCAACAAUUAAAUCCAAUGGCAGCAUCCAACAAAAACCAAGAAAACCAACAAAAACCAUAACUUGUUCUUACCCAAAUAUGAGCCCAAUGGUUCACGGCGAGGCAGAUCUGGACGACGAUUUGCUUUCCGAGGGAGGCACGACGGUUGUGAGCGGAGAGGCACGGCGGUUACAGGCGGAUGGGCGCGACGGUUUAGAUCUGAAGAAGAAAAGAGAGGGUGGCGGUUGGGUUCGGCGAGCGGCGGCGGUUUUGCUUCGCGAACGGAGAUGGAGACGGCAGAUCGGCGCGCGGGACGACUGCAACGCAGAUCUGGACUGGCAGCGGCACGGUCUUGCUUCGCGGCGGGAAGGAAACGGAAGGAAAAGGAUCGGCGGCUGGGCUGCGGCUGAGCACGAACGGAAGGAGAAGAGGAACGGAGACGGCCGGCGGCAGUUGCUGCGCGAACGGAGAGAAGGGGAAGGUGGGUCGCGUGGCGCACGGGAGGAGAAGAGAAAUAGGGAAAAGAAAAGAAAAAGGAAAAAGAAAAGAAAAGGAAAAAGAAAAAAAAUAAAAUAUAUAUAUUUCUUUUUCUUUUCUUUUUAUUUAAAUUAAAUAUAAAAAUAUAUAUAUAUAUAUACCUUUGGGGCAUUACAAUAUAAGUUUGAUAUCAAGUAUUUUAUUAUAAAAAAAUUCCAAAGACUAAUAAACAAAAUAGCCAAUUUUAAAAAAUGGCAGAGAUAUAUGGAUGACAUUGGUUAUCUUUACAAACUCAUAUUAGAUUUAUUAUCUAAACCUAGGUUUGUUUUCCUUGUCAAGUUGUAUAAGAGUCAUACUAAUAGAAAAAUAGUUUUACGUAUAUCUUUAUUGAGAGGAAGACUUUUAAGUGGUUUGAAAAACAAGGCUAUUAAGAACGUAUUAUGUCCCAAGCAGAUAAUGUAAUAUUAUUAUGAAGGUAUGUGAAAAGGGUUCGUAUUCAACAUUAAUGUGGCCAAACCAAUUGAAUAUAACAUUUGCUCCUAUUGGAUUUACUAAAAGUUACUUUUUCUUUGUUAACUCCAAUUCUUGGAUUGUAAAGGUUUGCUUUUUAAAUUUUUUUAUUGGUAGGUAUCCCGGCAGAAGUAAAGACAAGGCUACUUGUGGAUGAACCUAACAAAGCAGUAAUAUUUGAAUGUGUUGAAGGAGAUCUAUUAAAAGACUUUGAAAUGUUCCAAGUGAAAGUUGAAGUUAGAGAUGGUGGUAAAAAUGGUGUUAGCUCAGUUAAAUGGUCAGUGGGAUUUAUGAAGGCAAAUGAAGAUGUGGCUCCACCACAUAACUAUCUCCAAUUUGGAGUGAAAGUGUGCAAAGGCCUUGAUGCUUACCUUUCCAAACAAAUAAUGAACUAAAAGAAGAGGAAAAAAACAAAAAGAGAAAAAAAGACCAUAAACUUGUUUAUGGUUUUAUUUAAAUAAUAAUCUAUACAUAAAUUGGGCUGUCAUCAUAUGUUUCGUUUCCCAUUAUUUGUACUUUUAUCUCAAUUGUUAUGUGUAUUGUGUACAAGGUUGAAGGUUGAUCAGAAGAAUUCAACUUCAUCAAUAUUUUAAUAUUUGCUAGCUUGCUUAUCUCCUUCUAUGUAAUAUUUUAAUUUUUUUAUGGGUUGCAGUGUAGACUGUCUUUGAACAUUCAUGAAGAUCAUGUUUUUGUUUAACAAGGGUUCUCUUAACUUUUAGAGGUGUAAAAAACUCGUUGAUGAUAACUCGGAAACUUCGAUUGCAUACCCAACUCAUAUUAUAUGGGUUGAGUUGGGUUAGUUUAAAAUGUGGGUUGGGUUGGGUUGGGUUGGAUUGAAUUUUUUAUUUUUUUUCAGGUUAAGUUAUUGGAUCUCGAGUUGGAGGGUUGAAAAAUUCGAGUCAAUCCAACUCAACUCAAAUUAAUAUAUAUAUAUAUAUAUAUAUAUAUAUAUAUAUAUAUUAUUUAUUUAUUUAAUAUAAGUUAAACAAUUUUAUGAGUUUCGAGAGAUUUUUUGUUUGCUUAACUUGAUACGAAACAUAUUUGAUUUAUGGUUGAUGAUUUCCAUUUACAAACAUUAAAAUUUAGAAACGAAAAAAAAAAAUAAUGAUACAACCCGACAACCCUAACCCAACCCAACCCAUAUUUUACGAGUUGGGUUGGAAACUUAAUUUGAGUUAUUUGGGUUGGCAACCCAACAAACCUGAAAAUAUGGGUUGAGUUGGGAAUGUCUCCCAACUCAAUCCAUUUAUACUCCUAGAUAAAAGUCAAAACGCGCCACUAAAAGUAUUAGCAACAUUAAGACAUGCAUGAGUAAGAAUGCUUCUGUAACUUUGUAGCUAAAGGUUUUAUGACAUAAGACCCGAGUAUAUGGAAUAUAAGGGUUUUUCUUUUGAAGUAAUAGGUGUUUUGGGAGUAUGUAUUUUGAAGGACAGAUAAUUGUGUUAAGGUUACGUAAAGCAUUAAGGUUAUGUAACGCGAUGAUUCCGUUGAAACUAGGCGACCCAAUGAAGGAAGUUAUUGUGUCUGUGAAUAAUUUGGUGUUUCGAUGUUAUAUCGCAAGAGAAGUAGGCAUGGAAAGUUAAGAGAAUUUGAGGAAAUUUUUAAUUGUGAUUAAUUAAGGCUAUGUGUAAAUAAUUAAGCUAAGUAUGGUCUGGAAAGUUAAUAAACUUAGGAAAAUUGCAUCAUAUGACAAAAAUAUUUAGAAAAAACAGCCCGUGAUACCUAUUUUUUGCAUAUUUCAAAUAUGACAAAUAUGACAAGUAAUUGGUGAUAUCAGAUGACUAUCAAACGGUUAUCAGAGGGUUAUCAGAUGGCUAUUAGAGGGCUAACAAAAGUUUAUUGGCUUUCAAAUUUGUUACUUUUGUAAUUUAGAAAAUGUAGUGAUAUGAGCCCUGUUAUCAUAAAUCUUUUUGCUAUUUUUGCAAGCACCCCAUAAACAUAUUCAUGUAAAGUGUCAAGUAAGUAUUGGUGAGCUAAGGAGAGUUUAAGGAAUGACUACUUUGAUUUUUUUAGAUUAGUAUAAAUAGGACUUAAAGAUUUAAAAAGAGUUAUUUUUUAAUUACUAAGAAAAAGUACUAAGAGUUGUGCUUUUGAGAAGGUCACCCGGCGAGAAGAAUGGUUUUGUUGAUUAAGCUUUCAAAAGAAGGGAACUAGUUUGUGAGUGAUUUUCUAAAGACGAAAAAGAUUUUAAAGCUUUCUUUCUAAAGUCAUAAAUUAUAUUAUGCUAAUGUUUAACGCAUUGUACAAUCUUGUUGAUAUUUAUGAGAAAUCUGUGAUUGUUUGAAAGAAAAAGUUUCUAAAGUUGAAGUUUUCAUGUUUUCAUGUUAUUUGUAUGAAUUGCUCAUAUGUGAGCAAAUCAUUAGUUUUUAUUCCUAUCAAUAAGCGAGCUAUUAUGUGCACAUAAUGAGUCAAGGCAACCGUGGGGUUUACAAACCACAUGGUAGUAAGAAGUUGACUAAUGCGUUUGAGUUAACAGCCUGAGCAAUGGAAAAUGAACUGGGACGUUCUCUAAUGGAUCUUGAUGAUGAUACAGUCAUCCCAAUAGUCUAUGCAUGGGAUGGUUCACGUUCUUUGUAAAAGGAAUAAGAACGGCUAAUAAUGUGUGAUUUAUGUUUUGGAAUGAGGUGUUGAGUGUUUAUGGAAAUGAAUUCACAUGAUUGAAUUGUAUUCUCCAUAAAGGAUUUCCAAAAUACCACUCACUAAGUAUUUGACUAAGGUUUUAAGUUCUCAUUCUCUAGGUUAUCAAAUGUUGAGGCCAAGUUGAUAAGGGUAAGGUGAAUUGGUACGCAUUAAGGCGUUAGCCAGACAUUUUAAGUUUGAAUAUGAAGAAGUUGUGCUUGUUGGGAUUGAUGCCCUAAAUUUUGUGGUCUUGUGGUCUUGUAGUUUGUAAUUGUAUAUAUUAUACAAACAUUUUAUUUAUCUAAUAAAAUAAAGUGUGUUAUUUUAUUUGACAUUUAGUUGUAUUAACCCACAAAAACCAAUAAACUAACAUCCAAGGUUAUCUUAUGUAACCUAAACAUGUAUGUGGAGACAUACAAGUGGAAAAUGUUUAAAUGAUAACCUAAAUGGUCUGUAGUAGAUGGAUAAGGCUGGAUACCUUAUCCUGGUGAUACUACGUACGAAUACGGUCUCCAUGCUUUGUAGUUGUUACAAUUGUUCUAAAGUGCGACAAAUGAUUUGAUCUUAAUCAUUCAUGUCGAGACAUUAGAGCAGGGGUAUUCUAAUACAAAGAGUUUGUAUAAGAUCGGAGCAUGAAAUGAAUAGUUUCUCUUACCAACACCGUUAUUAGUUGAGACUACAUUUCACCAAAAUGACCAUAGGUGACUUGACCUGAAUCCUGAGUGAGUUGUGAACUCCUGCCUAUGAAGGCAGUACUUUGAUUUGCAUGGGUGAGAGGGGCCUAUAUCACCGACUCAAUAGGCCUACCAUUUUGGGGAUUCGUUUGAUUAGGGAGCUGGGAACACAACUACACACGAAGGAAUUCACUUAUUCUCAAUAGAUAGAGUAAGUAGAGAAAUUGCUCUCUUAAGGGCUGAUUCUAGGGCUUGAACAAUGUGGCGUCACACCCUCUCUUGCCUGAGAGGAGAGUUAUAGUGGGACUAUAACUAUUGUUCAUUAGAGGGAUUGGUGGUACGUAAGGAGUUAGAUGUAACUACAUGAGCAAAACGGUAAUUUUUAGCCUAGAUGUACUUAUGAGCAAUUUGUGAAGGGUCAUUGCAUUGUUGAUUGGUUAUAUCUAAUGGACACAAAAAUAUAUCUACAGUAAGAAGAGUGCAACUAUUGCUCUUUAGUGGAAUGACCGGUAGUUAAUGAAUAGUGAUUAAUUUAAUUAAAGAGUUUAAUUAAUUAAUCUCACAUCAUUGGAGCUUUAAUCUGUAGGUCCAUAAAGUCCAUUGUUACCUCAAUAAAGAUAAAUGAAAAUCAAAUUUAUUUUGGUUUAAUUUGAAUAGUUCAAAUUGAUUAAAGUGAAUAAAUUGUAUAUGAUACAAUUAAUAUGAUGUAUUUGAUACAUUAUACUAUAAAGUUUUUGUGAGAGAAGUUAAUAUUUGAAUAUGAUUCAAAUAAUAAGAUUCAUAAAUAAACUAUAGAUUAAAAAUUAAUAUGGAUUCCAUUCAUGUUAAAACUAUAGAUCAUAUGAGAAGAUCUAAACCAUUAGUUAUAUUAUAUAUGAUAUAAUAUAAAAUUAAUAUUAUAUAAGAUAUAAUAUAAUUUGAAUUUAUAUUAUAUUUAUAUUUAUAUUAAUUUAAAUAAAAAAAAUAACUCCAAGGGAGUUAUUCUACUUAAUGGGAGAGGGAGGAAGUUAUUUUGAUAACUUUCCCUUUCAUCUCUCUUCAUAUCUUUUGGUUAAGAUAUAGAAGAAAGGUGGCAAUCUUUUUUAAUGGUUUUUUGAUAUCUAUUGCUUCCAUGAAGAUAAUUUCUCUCUGCAAAUAUUUUUUCCUUUAAACAAAACAAAAACAUAGAAGCUCCACAAACUCUCUGUAAUUUUUUUUUUAUCUUGAGGAUAACAAGGAAGACUUCAUGGUUUCGUGGUAUUCUUUGGGAGGUUCGAGAAUUCUUGAGAGGUUCUAUAAACGUUAGUUUUCUUUUCUUCUUUUCUUCCAUAGAAGCAUGUUUAGGAGUUUUCUCUGUGUUUCAAGUUGAAUUUCUUUUGCAUGGCGUUCACACGUCUCUGCUAUGGGAAUUCUAUUCAUUCAGUGCUAGGCAUUGGAAACCUUAAGUCUUUGUUUUAAGUGUUUGUUGUAAAAGAAAGCAUGUAUUAUGUAUUUGGAACCCAUGUUGUUAAGUUAAUAAAAGAUGAAGUUUGAUUUUUUAUUUGACAUUGUGUUUUCUUAUCACAGGUUUAAGUUUGAACUAGGCGAUAAAGCUAUGGUUCAAGUUUAAGAGUGAACGUUUUGGCAGUUCAUAUGAUAAUUGAGGUGUCAGGGGCUGUUGAUCAAGUCUCGUGCUGCAACACAUUGAAGAGAUUAAAGCCCUUAGCAGCGAAAAAUUUUACAAAGAUUGUAGAUCAAUUUAAUUGAAAACUUAAAAAAUAUCAUGCAUUGGCAAAAUAAUACAUAAACCAAUUUUUUUUAUUACUAAACAUGCUUACUAAUUAUAGAUUAGAGAAAGAAAAACCUACGUAGUUUGACGCCUCUGAAUCUACUAAAACUCCAAAUUUGAGACUUUGAGAGAAUCAUGAGAUUCUAUUAAUUUAAAAAAUAUUCAAUUAAUAAAAAUAUUAAAUAAAUUAAUCAAUUAAUUAAAUUAACAAUUAAUUAAAUAAAAUUUCAUUAAUUAAUAUUUCAUUUAAAUCAUAUUUGAUUAAUAUCUCUUGCAUAUCCUAUAGUUUUAGUUUAAUUAAUUUAAUUUAAUGAAACUAAACUAAACUAUUAAUUAAUUCUUCAAUUAAUUAAUUGCUAAAUUAAAUAUCUUAAUUAAUUGCUAAAUUAAAUAUCUUAUGUUUAAUUUAAUUCAAAUUUGAAUCAUAUUCAAAUAUAAAUUUCUAUCAUGACUUAUAGUUUUAAUGUGUAUUAUAUACACAUUAAAUUUUAACCGAUAGUUUUAAUAUGAAUCCAAUUCACAUUGAUAUUUAAACUCAUUCAAAUAUUUCAUCUCUCAUAAAUUAAUUUUGAAUCAUAUUCAAAAUUAAAUUUAUAUGAUAAAUUUUAAUUAAAAUAUAAUUUUUAUAUUGUAAUGUAUCAACAUACAUUAUACUAAUUCCCAAAGUAAAUUUGAACAUUUCGAAUUACAACCAAUAUAAAUAAAUCUUAUUACCCUUUACGAGCUAAGAAUGGGACCUAAUGGACCUACACAUCAGAAGCUACAAUGAUAUGAGAUUAAUUGACUAAACUCAUUCACCACAUUAAUCAAUAUUCAUUAACUGUGUGUACACUCCACUAAAGACUCACAAUUAAACAUUUCUCACUGUAGAUAUAUUUAUCUAUCAACGAAUAUAGACCAAUAACAAUAAGUUAGUCCUUCAUGAGUGUUUGUAACACCAAUUGAGUAAAAUUAUCAUUUUACCCCUGGUUACUUCUAGCUCAUAAAUACCAGUGCUCCUCUAAUGAACAACCUUUUAUGGUCCAACCAAUAAACAUAAGUCUCUCUCAUGUCGUAAAGAGGGUAGGGCCCCUUAUUCAAGUAUCAGAGUGAAUUCUAUCUUGUGUAAUUAUGUUUCAAGCUUUCCACUCGGUCUUGUCCCCAAAAUGAUAAGCAUAUUGAGUCGGCAAUCUAGCCACCCUCACCCGUACAAAUCAAAAGACAAUUCCUUGCAAACAAAAGUUCAUAAUACGUACACUCAAGAUUAAGACUAAGUUACCUAGGUCAUCAUAAUAAAAUAGAAACUCAACUAGUCAAUGGAGUUACAUCUAGUGGUUACUAUUUCGUAGUUCGGUCUGAUGGAAACUUAUUGCAUAGGAUACUUUCACUCGCAUGUCACCUACACGAAUGCGUUGGAUUAUUGUGUUUGUAUCAAAUACAAAUUGAGUCGUAUCCAUAUUAGGAUAAGGUACUCAGCCUUAUCCCUAUACUAUGGAUCCUUUAAGUUGAUCCUAAACAUUGAUUCUUAUAUGUCUCUACAUACUGUUCAAGACUCAUCAAACAUAUUAGGAUGCUAGUUUAUUGGAUUUAGGUUAUUAAGACAAAAAUAAUAAUAUAAUCAAUAACGCUUAUUGAAAUAAUAAUAAUAACAUUUUAUUAAUUAAUAACGGUCAACGAAUUAUAUUUACUUUUGGAUUUUAGGACAUAAAUCUCAACGCACAUAUAUUCAUUGCCUACUGCAAAAAGAUAACUUUUACUGACACAUAUGCACUACUAAAACUCAGUUUUAGCAACUUUUAUUUGUUACUAUUUGUUUUUUGUACAGUGAUAUGCAAAGUUUGCCACUAGAAUAUUAGUCUUAGUAAAAUAAAUAAUAAGAUUGUUACUAAAAGUAGAUCGAUGGUCAUUGCAUGUAUCUUUUGCAACAUAUGCAAGCACCAUAAAAAAUAAUAUUCAAUUUAACAUAUAAACCUAUAUCAUUAAUACAAAACUAGGCUAUAACGAUCAAAUUUAUACUAAGCUGAGAACACUACCACAAAAAUAAUUGACAAUUUUACAUUUUCUUAAAAAGAGAAAACCUAAAUCUUUAUUAAAAUAAUUUCAAAUAAUUAUUCCUAAAAUACAAGUUUGCAUAAUCAACAAAAAGUACCAUGAAAAAAUGUAGCAGAGUUUACAAAUUUUUAAAAAUAAAAAUAAAUGAAUGAAAUAAAAAUUUUAACAUAAAAUUUUAAAAUCGAAAUACUGAUAAAUAAAGGGUCAUGGCUAUUGGUUAUUGAUUAGCAAUACGAUCGUUUGUCAAUAGGCAUGAGAUCUAUAAUUAACGAUAACAAUUGAUCAUCAUCGAUCAAGAUGUUCGCCUGAUGACAGUAACGUCCAAGUUGUAGAUCAUUGACGAUCAAUAAUCGAUGGCGAAGACGAUUCAAAGGCGACGAUAUCAAAAUGAUCUGAAUGAUGAUUAACAAAAUUGGUUUUCGCGACCGUUGAUCGAUCAUGAUAUGUCAUCAUAGUUGAUCGUAAAGUUGGCUAACGUUUGUUGCCAACGGUUAUCAAUAAUCAUUGAUAAGAGAUUUAAGUGAUUUUUUUUCUAAAACACAUGACAUUCAAUAAAAAAAACAACGUAUUCCAAACCCAUGGAUUUGGUUUUUUAAUCCUAGGAAUUGUAUUCAAAGAGUCCAAACAUGGGUUUGGCUUCCCCCCUAAUUUCGACCUCAUCGGUCAACAUCACCUUAGGCAACUACCACCACUUAGUAAACUCAUUUUUAACCCCUUCUUUAUACUACUAUCUCAACUAAAUCCUAGUUUUCAACUAAUCUCAAAUCCAACUCAUUCACUUGUUUCAAUGGAAGGCUUAGAAAUGCUAUAGUUCACAGUUUACAAGAAUGGUGUCAAAUUCCCAAAUUUUAUUAAGGGCCACUUGUACUUAUAUGGCAUAAUAUAAAAUAAAACUUGAGUUCAUGACCUAACAUUUUAAAUUUUGCACGAUUAACAAAUCACCAAUCGUAGCCCAUUUGAAAUUUUUGGAUGACCAAAAUGUCCUUAUAGUUAAAAAUAUCUAACUACAUUUGAUUACCAUCUCAUUCUUAUUUCAUUGUCAUCCUAUUGCCACUAAUUAUCAAUGAUAUCGAUUGUCAGAUUUUUAUUUCUAGUACAUUGUUAUCGAAUUGUUAAUGAUACUGAUUUUGAAGGGAUAAAAAUCUUACACAGCAGAAGAAUUAACAGAACCAUAAACUCAAUUUAAUUGGGAACUUAAAAAUACCAGUACAUUGCCAACAUGAGCUUAGCUCAACUGGCACCUGUAUUUUCCUGUGGACUAGAGGUCCCGGGUUCUAAUCUCCACCCGAGCAUUUAUUACAAUACCUUUGAAAAAAAAAACUAAAACACCAAAUUAAGUCACCACCACUAAGAGAUCCUCUUCACCAAAAUAUUUAUGACCCGUAUAGCAAAAUAAAAAGCCCGCUUUUGAAUUGUGUAUCAUGAACUACACACGUCGUGUAUCAUGAUCUACACGAUUGUUUACUAGGACUUUUCAAAACCAUCGUUUGCCAAUUUCUUCAUGAAAAAUAUAAAAGUGAUGAUAGAUAUGCAUAAAUUAAAAUUUGUAUGGUCACAUAGAAUCAAGUUGCAUAAGCUAUUCUCAUGGGGAGUACAAACUACAGAGACAAUUGGUGUAAAUAAUCAAACAACAGAGACAAUUGGUGUAAAUAAUGAGAAACAAAAACGUACAUAAUCAAAUAACUGGGCUGAUGCAUGUAUGGACUCAUAUGAUUGUAAUACGCUGAUACGAGUGCCAGCAUACGUGCCAAGUAAUAGUAGUAUAGUAAAACAGUCCUUGAAGGGCUGAGUAUAUCAUCCGUAGGGAUCAAAUUAAAUAUCACAGUUUUAUUUUCCAAUUUUACAAUGGUUUUAAUUUUAGAUAAGGAUUUGAAAACCGAAUUUUAAACUUUUGAUUUUUUGAAAGCAAUAACUAAAAGUAAGACAAUUAUGAAAAUUCAAAAGGUAAAAUGUUCUGGGAUGUUGAUUUCAUUCCAUUACAAAUCAUGUUUAGAUUUUAAUAUGGAAUCUCAGGUAAACAAUAGGUUAAAGUCUAGAAUUUGUUUUUAAAUUAUUUUCCCUAAAAAAAUUAUUUAUCUCAUGCAACUAAGUGAUUAUUAAUGAAGUAAUCACUGGGCAGUGUCAAACCACCGCCCAUCUACGUUCGAACAUCAUGCUACCGGCAGCGUCUCUCUCUAUCACUUUGAAGCUGAACGUUUCGUCUCCGUCGUCGUCGUCUGCUCGAAGCUGGCCAUUCCGCUCCAUCAUUUUCCAUGAAGCAUCAGCAUCCUCCGUCGCGUCCUCAGUCUCCGUUCAGCGUACUCCGACCAUCUCUUUCUGCCUCUGUCUGGCUCAGGUGUAGUCACGUUCGCGAGCCGUUUUUGCCAUUUAAGUCUACUUGAUUUUGCACCUGAGCCAUGAAGCCCCUCUCCCUUGGUGUGAGCCAUUUGCCUUUCUCCUAGCCGAGUCGCAUCUCUUCUCCAAGUCAAGCUGCAUAUUUGGUAUCUUUUGAGUAAUUUGUUUUUUUUUUUUUUUUUUUUUUUUGCCUCUAAUUAAAUUAAUUUGGAUUUAAUUUUAGACUUUUACCUUGAACGUUUAAUUGGCUAAAUUGGAGGACUUAAAUUGCGGAAUUUUUUCCAAUCAAGGUCGACUUUAUUUCAACCUCAACUUUGGAUAAAUUGAAUUGAGUUGAUUUUUGGAAUAAUCAACUGUUAUUUUUAUUAUUUCAGUUAUUGGAUUCCAUUUCUGUUUAGGACCUAUCUAUUGGAAAACUUUGAUCGUAACUAUCAGAAAAGAUUUGUUAAGCUAAUCUCUUAGGUAAAAGAUUCUACUACCUAACCUUCGAAAUAGAAUUCAAAGCUUGCAUGUAUUUGUUUUCAUUGUCUUAAGGUAGCUAAUAUGCAUAAUGUGACUGAUAUAGAUGGAUACCACACAUGACUGCUAUAUUAUGACUGAUAUGUUAUGAUUGAUUUGUUAUUACUGAUGUGUUAUGGCUGAUAUGACUGAGAUAUGAUAUAUGAUUGAGAUAUGUUAUGACUGAGAUGAUCAUUGACAUGUUAUGACGCAUGAUAUAUUAAUAACAUGAUAAGGACAUUAGGAUUGAUAUUCAUGCCAUGAUAAGAUGUUAAUGAUAGGUUACAUGCUAAGGACUGUCGGGUUAUGUUAACUUGUCUGUUAGGGUCGUACAGAUAUGGGUGUCCCUCGAGAUCACCACAUUUUUAUGACUGUGUGUGUUCAAUAGGACCACCAGUGUAUCAUGAUAACUUUUAUGUGUGAUUCGAUGAGGUCACUUACAAUCCAAUUCUCGGAGGUGUUCUUUCAGGUUCAUCGAAGGCUAGAUGUGUUCCUACGAGAUCGCUAUAACUAAAUAGCAUGUGUUCGGAAGCACGAUAAUUAUGAGGUAUUUUCUUAUGGGACCCUAAUGAGAAGUUCACAGACAUCUAGCGGGACUAAUAGUGGGUCCAUUACUGUAACGAUCCAACUUUUUUACUAAGCCGAGGUCAUUAUCUUAAAGAUAAAUAACAAUUUUGAAAUUUUCUUGAAAAGAGAAAAACUAAAAUUUUCAUUAAUACCAUGAAAACAUGCUCCAUGAGUUUUACAAAUUUUAAAGAUAAUAAAAACAAAUAGGUAAAAAGAUUUAACCUUGAAACGCUGAAAACAAACAAUAAAAAGUGUCCCCAUAUGGUAAGUCACAAAUCCUUUCAUCUCACUCGCCAAAUUUUCUGUAUAUUUACCUUUGUCUGAAAUAUUAAACAUAGAAAAUAAUGAGUACAAACACAUACUCAGUAAGGGACCCACUACUAAUUCAGGUAGGCGUGUUUGUUAACUUUUCGUUAGAGUUCUGUAAGAAGAUAUCGCAUAACUAUUGUGCUCCCGAACGCAUGCUAUCUAGUGAUCCCAUAGGAACAUAUUUGGGCUCUUGGUGAUCCUGAAGGAAACACCCUAAAAGAGAGUCAGGCUGUGAGUGAUCCCGUCGAAUCACACAUAAAAGCUGGCCACACAAGCAUAAAUGGGUGGUGAUCCCAAGGGACACUCAUACAAUACGACUCUAACGGAUAAAGCUAACUGAACAUCAUAGCCUAUACAUAUAGCAUAACAUAAAUAUCAUGUCUAAAUCAUAAUGUAUCUCAACCAUAGUAUAUCUCAUUCAUAAUAAUAUCUUAUUCAUAACAUAUCGUGGUCAUCACAUAUCUCAGUCAUACAUAACGAUUGUCUAUGUGACUACCAAUAUCAAUCAUUCUCAACAGUCACAUCAUGCAUCAUAGCUACGCUAAUGCAUAAUAAGGAAAAACAUAAUGUCAAGGGUCUAAUAAAAAAAAUGUCUUACCUGAGAUUAGCUAAAAAUAUUCAUUUGCUGACAAUAAAAAUUCUCAAAUUAAUCCAAUCAUAAUCAUAAAAGGAAAUUUAAGUAUUUUAAUUAAUAAAAUUAAUAGUUGACUUUCAUCCAAAAAUUCUCUCAAAUUAAUUAACUUCCCUAAAAAAUUGAGGUUGAAACCUUGGAAAAAAUUCGUUUUUUAAAUCUUCAAGAUUUGCCAAAGAGACUUUCCAAAUUCAUGCAAUCAAAAUAAAUUCCAAGAUGAAGAACCUUUUCUUUUUGCGAUCUCUUAUUUCAAUUUGAGCAUUCCAAUUCUAUGUAUAAACCUAAAUAAUAAUAUUUAUCAUUAUUAAUUUCUUUUCCUUUUCCUUUUCCUUUUAAUAGAAUAUAUAUAUAUAUAUAUAUAUAUAUAUAUAUAUAUAUAUAAACAUAUAUUUUUAUUUUCAUUAUCUUUCCUCGCUAAAACAACUUUUGUCUUUGAAAGUAGUUAUCUUCUUCAAAAAUCAAAUUUCUCUCUUGUUAAAUCCCAUCAAAUCCAAACAAUUUUAUUCCUUUGCUGGUAAAGAAUUUUACUCUACUUAUCUUUUUCAAAAAUCAAAUCUUCUCUCUCGUUAAAUCCCAUCAAAUCCAAACAAUUUUAUUCCUUUACCAAAAUAAUUUUACUGUUGCAAAUAGUUAUAUUUUUCUAAAAUAUAAUUAUUUUAUUUUUCUUUGUAAGCAAAUAUUCUCUCUCCAAAUAAUCAAUUAUAUUCUUUCAUAUAAUUAAUUUUUCACGGAUAGAAUUAUAUUUACUAUUUUUCAUAAUAAUUAUAUAUAUAACCACAUAUACAUAUAAUUAUCAAAUUUGUAACAAAAUUUCUACGCUUCAUUGUAAUUAAAUAACAUUCAAAUUAUUUAUAUAAAUUUAAAUGUCUAUAAAACCGAAUAAUUUCCACAAAUUUACUUAAAUCUCAUAACAUUAAAUUAAAUCAAAUUCUCAACAAACACCACAACUCAAGUUCUCUAACGCUCAACAAAUUAAAAAUAAUUAAACAAAAUUAAGAUAAUUAUCUCUAAAAAUUAUCUUAAUUUUUCGAGGCAUUACACUUACUGAGUAUAUGUUUAUACUCACCCAUUUCUAUGUUUAAUUUUUGAGGCAAAGGUAAAGAUAGAGUUAGAGAAAAGUUGACGAAUGACAAGAAGUGACCAUGGUUCGUGUUGCUUCUGCCUUAUGUUUAUAGUAUUUUGAUUUUUUGGCAUUUUAUUUAAAUUUAUCGGACUUACGUUUUACUUUUAUGUUAAUUUCUUUAAAAGUUUAAAUAGAGUUCAAACUAGCAUUUUAUCUACCUACUUUAUUUACGAUUUAUAAAUGAAUGUUUGAAAUUUUUCAUUAAAAAUUUAGUGUCUUUCUUUUAUAUAUUUUAUAAAAAGUCUUUAUUUAUUUAAGUAGUAACAACGUUAGCUUAGUAUAAAGAGUUGGAUCGUUGGUACUCUAAAAGAUGCAAUGAGUUAGAAAAAACAUAUUUAUGUCCACUUUUAGCGUCUUGUCUAUCUCUUUAUUUCACGUCCUCCCAUUCGAAUGUUCACGUAUGAAGUCCAUGGCUUGAGGCUAAAUUUAUACAAUAUAGGUGAAAGAUUGUGUUAUCAAUUUCAUUGAGCCUAUAUUUUGAAGACUACUGCGUUCUCGAUUUUAUUGAACCUAUAAUUUUGGUAUAAAUAGUUUCUAAAACAACUUAGAGUUUGACAAGUUGAAGUAAUUCAAGUUGGAUUGGAAUGAAUAUUCAUUAUAAAGUUCAACCUCAUUAUGUUAGAUUUUUUCUUAUUCAUGUUUGAACUUUCAAUUUAGCUUGAUAAAUAGAUCGCAAACAGUUCAAAAUAUGGAAGUUAUAAACAAAUACUCAUUUCUUCUUGAUCUUUGUUGAUAUCUUUCUAUACAAAAUUUGGUUAACUUUCUUGAGAUCAUUAACAAGUUAUAUAUGGAGGUUACUUUAUGCUUUAUUAUUGUUCUAGGAUUCACUUCAAAUUAGAAAAGCUCUCAUUCUCAAUUAAGUUCUCUUUUUCAAGGAAGGUCUAACAAAGAGAAAAAAUAGUAGAAUAAGUAACCAUUACCAUUGUUACGUUAUUUAUUCCAAUUAAGCUUCAGAGUACACACAUAUGAUAACAAUACAGCUCGAGAUAAGGAGAUAUUUAAAUCAUAUAAUUUUAAUAGCCAAACCAAGUUGGGAUGGCUUUUAAGUUCAGUUGUUGCAAAGGUAGUCAUCAAGGCCUUUGGCAACUUUAGUUACACAUAGGAGAUAGUGAUGUGGUGAAGCCACAUCUUCAUUUGCCUUCACAAACUCUAUAGACCAAUUAACUGUUCCUCCAUUGUUACCAUUCUCAAGAACUUGAAAUUUUAAUUUAAGCACUUCAAAAUUUCUUAAUGGAUCUCCUUCAAGGCACUCAAAAGUUAUUGAUUUGUUGGCAUCAUCAAUAGCUAGCCUCUCUUUCACCUCUUCUGGUUUUCCUAAGUAAUUUCAUCCAAAACAAGGAAAAAAAAAAAACAAAAAGAGUGUAAGAAUUGUUGCUAAGUAAAUCCCAGGAGCUCGCAAAAUACAAUAAAGGUGUAUAUGUACAACUGACAUAACCUGACGCAUCAAUUGUAUUGAUAUAAAGUGAGGAAGAAUAUGAUGUUAAGGAGGUUGCGUAACAAACCCAGAACCUUUUAGGCUCGAUUUGAUAAGACUUAUUUGGCCUUUUGUUCUUGCGUUUGGAUUUUAGGCUUGAUAAUCUUUUUAUUAAAAAAGUUUGAAUUAUUAACCAAAUUCGUGAAACAAAAGCAAACUUUUAAAAUUCAUUUUAUUUUUGUUUCUAGAAACUAGCUCCCUUGAUUUUUAAAACAUGGGUAGAGAAGUAGAUAAUAAAAGAAAAAGAUUUAGAAGGUAAGAGUAGUGUUUCUUAAAUAGCUUUUUGAAAUAAUAAAUAAAUAAUAUUGAUUUCUCAAAGGUAAUUUUGGUCAGAAGAAAAAAGUCGAAAUGUUAAAAUAUAGAAUAUUUAAAAGUAUAACUGAACCAAAAUCGAAAAAAAUUGAAAUGAUGGUUUUGAUACAGAUCCUCACCUGCGUUAAAUUUUAGGUGGAUGAUGCUGCCAUCAGAAAAACCAUUCCCUUCCACAACCUUACAACUCUUAUAAAUUUCAGGGAACAUUUGAACAAAAACAUAAUCCAUUUUGUUCUUGAAAAACUGAUAGAACUUGUGAGCAGAAGACUUGAUAUUCACUUGCUCUGAGAUCUCACAUAUCUGAGCCAUUUUGAAGAUUCUAAUGUGUAGCUUCAAAUCUGCUCAUAAUAAGGUGUCCAUAGAAGGACCGUUUUAUAGCUAAAUAAAGCCAAAAAUGGGUGCAUCUUGAUGUGACUUUUUAUUCCUUUUGUUCGUUACAAUUCAUUAUCAUUUUCAAGUGAGAAAAUGAAUGAAAUAUUCUGUUGUACAACUUUAAAUUAUUUACAGUCCAAAGCUUUGCAUGGACAUUGAGUAAUUUUUGUGUUCUUUAAGAAUUAAAAAGCAAUUUGGGACUGAAUCGAUGAUUAUGUAGUGUUUGUGAGUUAUAAUAUAAUAGUGUAUAUGUUAUAAUAGUUGUGUUUUGGGUGAAAACUAUUGAUAGAAUCUAAGUUAGGAUAAUUUGUAUUUGAGAUGUUGAUUAAUUUAGUAUUUGUUAUGUGAGACGUAGAGUAUGAGGACAAUCAUUUUUCAAAUUUUUUCAUUGCCCACGUUAUUUUUAACAAACCUUUUUCUACACGAGUUCUUUCUUCUUUCAUUUGCUAACUCUCAAUAUUGAUUCCUCUUGGAAAGUAUGCUCCUGGAAGAAGUUUGCUAGGAACCUCAAUAAAAUCUAAAGCUUUUCCUUUCCGUACAUCAAGAUUUGUUCGUUGUGUUUAUAAAAAGAGAGAAUGUGAUCACCAUAUGAGUUGGAGUUCCUUAUCUUCAUCUUCUAUAUAUCUUCACUCCUAUCACCUCUACCUCAGAGACAAGCCAUUAAGAAUAGACAAAUGACCUUAGAAUUUUGAUACCUUCAACUGUUCACAAAGCGUAAAAUUGCUUCUUUCAGAUGUAAUCAAUUCGAGAUCCUCUUUACUUGAUAUGUUAGGUUCAAGCUUGUUUAAAAGCACUUUGGUUGUCCAAAUUUCAUGUACAUUUGCAAGAACAUUCUCAACCAAAUUUAGCCUUAAGCUUAUUGAACUUCCAGCUUUCAAAUUAAUUCAUCUCCUCCCAAUCUAUAUUAUUGCUCAUGUUCGACAUCUUAAGAACCUUUUUCUGGGUCUAUCACUGGACAAUGCUUGACUGCCAUCACCACUUAACUCUUUAGAAGUACCACUGUUGUUGGAAGUGUACAAUGAACACCUCAAAUAGAUAAUUACCAAGUAGAAUAUUUAAGAAGAAAAAACAAACUUUAAUUGAAGACUCUAACUUUUUUAUGUGUAUUCUACUCACACUUGGAUAAUUUAGAUUACAACAUUUCAAUCCUAUUUAUAGGAUUUUCACGAGCAUAACUCAUACCACAGAUUAAACACAACAAUUUAAAACCUAAACUUAAUUAAUAUGAAAACUCAUACUAAAUUAACUUUCAACAUUUUAACUCACAACCUUUAACUUUUUCUAACUCUCAUAAAUCAAUUCACAUAUAACUUAUUUAUUUAAAGCAUGUUUAAUUUUCAAUAUCCUCCCUUAAACAUGUCUUUUUUAAAAAAACUCCAAGCGAACUUGUUAACUUGUUAAACACAUUAACUUUGAGUAACUUCGUGAAAAUAUCUGCAAUUUGAUCUUCAGACUUCACAUAUUCAACAUGAACCUCCUUCCUUGAAAUGCAAUCUCUGAUGAAAUGAAAUCUAGUAUCAAUGUGUUUGCUACGAUCAUGGAACACGGGAUUCUUUGCCAAAGCAAUUGUUGACUUAUUGUCUACAUGGAUCACAGUUGGAUCAUCUUGCAAAAUUCCAAUUGUCUUUAACAAAUUUCUUAACCAAAUUGCAUGACAAACACAUGAAGCUGCAGCAACGCAUUCGACCUCACAAGUGGAUAAUGUCACAAUACGUUGUUUCUUAGAACUCCAAGUAAAUGCAGUAUUACCAAUGAAGAAUACAAAUCCACUAGUGUUCUUUCGAUCAUUAGUAUCUCCAGCCCAGUCACUAUCACAAUAGCCUUCAAGCUUGAAUUCUUUAGAUGAAGAAUAAAAUAACCCAUAGUCAACCGUACCUUUGAGGUAACGAAGAAUUCUCUUCGCCACUUUCAAAUGAGUAGUUGUAGGAGAUUCCAUAAAUCGACUCACCAAUCCAACGUUGAUUGGAUUGCAAACAACAAUUUAGUUCCCUUCCAAGUACCUCGACUUACGAAAGAAAAUUAUAGCAGCUGGUGUAUUCGAAUGAAAGCUCUACUUGGUUCACAAGAUGUAUGGGACAUUGUUAAUAAUGGUUAUGAAGAACCAGAAAGUGAUACAGCUUUGAGUCAAGCUCAACGAGAAAAUUUACAAAAUACAAAGAAACGAGAUCAAAAGGCUCUCACCAUCAUUCAUCAAGCCAUUGAUGAUUCAAAUUUUGAGAAAGUUUCUGGAGCUACUACUACACAUCAAGCAUGGAAAAUUUUGGAGAAUACGUAUAAAGGAGUAGAUCAAGUCAAGAAGGUUCGCCUUCAAAAAUUGAGAGGUGAUUAUGAAUCACUGCAUAUGAAGGAGUUUGAAUCGGUUUUAGAUUAUACGUCAAGAUUUUUAGCAGUAGUAAAUGAAAUGAAAAGAUAUGGUGAGACAAUAAGUGAUGAGCAAGUAGCAGAAAAGAUACUUCGCUCAUUGGAUGAAAAAUUCAAUUUCAUCGUUGUAGCUAUUGAAGAAUCAAAGGAUUUGAGUACAAUGUCCAUUGAUCAACUUAUGGGUUCUUUACAAGCCCACGAAGAGAAGCUUCUUAAGAAGAACAAGCAGACGACUGAGCAACUUUUUCAGUCAAAGUUGAAUUUAAAAGACAAGGAAGACAACUUAGAAAAAGGCAAUCGAGGUCGAGGACGUGGUGGUAAUCGUGGACGCGGUGAUUUCAGAGAUCGUGGUCGAGGAAACUAUGGUCAAAGAAAAUUUGAUGAGAGUAAUUCAAACUCAAAUUCAUCAAAGGAUCGUGGAAGACAACAUUAUUCAAGGUCAAAUGGAGAAAUAUCAAAUAAUGACAAGAGGUAUACAAAAGACAGGUUGAAUGUUAUAAUUGUCAUAAAUUUGGCCAUUAUUCAUGGGAAUGCAGAAAUAGAGUUGAAGAAAAUGCAAAUUAUGCUGAGAAAGAUGAAGAAAUAGGUAAUUCAUCAUUGCUUCUAGCAUGUAAAGGUGUGGAAACAUGUGAAAACAAUGCAUGGUAUCUUGAUAGUGGUGCAAGCAAUCAUAUGUAUCGAAGUAAAUCAAUAUUCAUGGAGCUUGAUGAAUCUGUUGGUGGUGAUAUCGUAUUUGGUGAUGCAACGAAAAUUCCAGUUAGAGGAAAAAGUAAAAUUUUUAUCAAUUUGAAGAAUGGAAAGCAUGAGUUUAUCUCUAAUGUUUAUUAUGUGUCUGAUAUGAAGAACAACGUUUUGAGUUUGGGACAACUCUUAGAGAAAGGGUAUAAUAUUUUGAUGAAGGAUUAUAGUCUUUUGAUAAGAGAUAAUCAUGGCAAUAUGAUUGCUAAAGUGCAAAUGACGAAAAAUAGAAUGUUUUUAUUGAGCAUUCAAACUGAUGUAGCGAAAUGUUUAAAGUCAUGUUUGAAAAAUCCAAACUGGAUUUGGCCCUUGAGAUUUGGGCAUUUAAACUUUGAUGGCUUGAAACUAUUAGUCAGGAAGAACAUGGUGAAAGGGUUGCCAUGUGUUAAACAUUCAGACCAAUUUUGUGAAGGUUGUCUUUAUGGCAAACAAUCAAAGAAGAGUUUUCCACAAGAAUCAUCUUGGAAAGCAAGGAGACCACUAGAGUUGGUUCACACUGAUCUUUGUGGACCGAUCAAACCAAGUUCUUUCGGUAAGAAUAAUUAUAUUUCUUAUUAUUUAUUGAUGAUUUCAGUCGAAAAACUUGGGUUUAUUUUGUCAAAGAGAAACCAUAAGAUUUGGCAUGUUCAAGAGAUUUAAAGCUCUUGUUGAAAAAGAAAGUGGUUAUUACAUAAAAGCAUUGAGAUCAGAUAGGGGAGAGGAAUUCACUUCAAAUGAAUUCAAAAAAAAUUGUGCAGAAAAUGGAAUUCGUCAACCUAUGACAGUUCCAUUUACUCCUCAACAAAAUGGUGUUGUUGAGAGGAAUAAUCGAACAAUACUUAACAUGACUCGAAGCAUGUUGAAGAGCAAGAAGAUGCCAAAAGAAUUUUGGGCACAAGUUGUUGAAUGUGCAGUAUACUUGUCAAAUCGUUCCCCUACUAGAAGCUUGUGGAACAAAACUCCUCAACAAGCAUGGAUAGGAAGAAAACCAUCCAUUGCUCAUUUGAGAGUAUUUGGAUGUAUGGCUUAUGCGCAUAUACCAGAUCAAAAGCGUAGUAAGCUUGAUGAUAAAAGUGAGAAACAUAUUUUUUUGGCUAUGAUGCAAGCUCAAAAGGCUACAAGCUUUAUAAUCCUGUGACAAAGAAGAUGAUGGUAAGCAGAGAUGUUGUGUUUGAUGAAGAAGCAUCAUGGAAUUGGAAAGAUGAACCAAAAGACUACAAAUUUUUGGUUUUUCCCGAUGAUCAUGAUGAGCCUAGUGACAUUGCUUCUCCAUCAACACCGCCAACAUCGCCAAUCACUCCACAACAAAGCACAUCUUCAUCAUCGGCAAGUUCAAGUGAAGGGCCUCGUGGCAUGAGAAGUUUACGAGACAUAUAUGAUGAAACUGAAGAGUUAAGUCAAAGUUUUAAUAACCUUACUCUCUUUUGUUUAUUUGGUGAUAGUGAACCUUUGAAUUUUGAAGAAGCUUCGCAAAAUGACAAAUGGAAGAUUGCUAUAGAUGAAGAGAUAAAAGCCAUAAAAAAGAACGAUACGUGGGAACUUUCUACUCUUCCAAAUGGAAAGAAAGCGAUAGGUGUCAAAUGGGUGUUCAAGAUAAAAAGAAAUGAAAAAGGAGAAGUGGAGAGAUACAAAGCAAGAUUAGUUGCAAAAGGAUAUUCUCAAAGAAAAGACAUUGAUUACGAUGAAGUAUUUGCUCCAGUUGCUCGUUUGGAAACCAUAAGAUUGUUAAUUGCGCUUGCUGCUCAAAAUAAUUGGAAGAUCUCUCAAAUGGAUGUCAAAUCAGCAUUUUUGAAUGGAUAUCUAGAAGAAUAAGUCUACUUAGAACAACCUCUUGGUUAUUCUAUGAAAGGUCAAGAGGAUAAAGUUCUAAAAUUGAAGAAGGCAUUAUACGGAUUGAAACAAGCACCAAGAAUGUGGAAUAGCAUAAUCAACAAAUAUUUCCUUAAUAAUGGGUAUUUGAGGUGCCCUUAUGAACAUUCCCUUUAUAUUAAGACUAAUGAUCAUGGAGAUAUUUUGGUUGUUUGUAUGUACGUGGAUGACUUAAUUUUUACAGGAAAUCGUGCAAGUAUGUUUGAAGAUCUCAAGAAGUCGAUGACCCAAGAAUUUGGAAUGACAGAUAUAGGGCUGAUGUCAUAUUAUCUUGGCAUUGAGGUGAAGCUAACAGAUGAAGGUAUUUUCGUCUCUCAAGAACGAUAUACUAGAGAAAUUCUAGAGAAGUUCAAUAUGAUUAAUUCUAAGCUUGUUACAACUCUGAUUGAAAGGGGGACCAAAUUGGCCAAAUAUGAAGAAGGAGAUGUUGAUCCUUCAUAUUUCAAAAGUUUGGUUGGGAGUUUGAGAUAUUUAACUUGCACACGACCAGAUAUUCUUUUCAGUGCUGGAUUGGUGAGUCGAUUUAUGGAAGCUCUGAUACCACUUUGUUGGAAGCGUACAAUGAACACCUCAAAUAGAUAAUUACCAAAUAGAAUAUUUAAGAAGAAAAAACAAACUUUAAUGGAAGACUCUAACAUUUUUAUGUGUAUUCUACUCACACUUGGAUAAUUUAGAUUAUAACAUUUCAAUCCUAUUUAUAGGAUUUUCAUGAGCAUAACUCAUACCACAAAUUAAACACAACAAUUUAAAACCUACACUUAAUUAAUAUGAAAACUCAUACUAAAUUAACUUUAAACAUUUUAACUCACAACUUUUAACUUUUUCUAACUCUCAUAAAUCAAUUCAAAUAUAACUUAUUUAUUUAAAGCAUGUUUAAUUUUCAACAACUAUUUGGUCUUUCCUUCAAGGUGUUUUGUGUAAUCCAACUUGUAUUCACACAUCCUUGACUUGCACUUUGCUACAAGUCAAAGUUGAUACUCCCAUCAAACCUUCUUCAUAUCACACUUUACUAAAAUCAUUAAAGCUUGACAUAUGUGCUUCUCCUCCUAGCAAACCAAAUAGAUAGCGAACAACCUACAAUAGUUCACAAUACUGUAAUUUGUUUUUAAAAUUCUUUUACGAUUACUACAACCAUAGAGCAUACUUUGAAACUCAAGAAACUAUGAUCAAAUGCUCUAAUAUUGUUGUUAGGAAAAAAAGCUCACUUACACCGUAGCAAAAAACACACAUAGAUAUUAAAAGAAAACAAUAAAAAUUGUGAACAUAAGAUUUUACAUAGAAAAUUCCAACUUAAAAAAAACCAUGGAUCAGAAAAAUUUACUACGUGAAAAAUUGAUACAAUCACGCAAAUAGUUCUCUCUAAACCACAAUUACAAUAGAGUCUCUCUCAAACCCUUUGACUAUCACACCUUUUCUCCACUUUCAAACUAGAAAAUUCAGAAGGACUUUAAUUAUAAUUAACCCUAAACUUUACACAAAACCUUUGCUGAGACAUUAAGGCAUAGACUAGCUAGUUUCAUAGUUCAUAGAGCCAUAAUCACCUCUAAAGAUUAUUAAGACUUCGUCAUAUAGGACUUCUUCAGUCUACAUCAAAACAUUAUUAAGACAUCUUAUAUUUAGGCCACCAAGCUUUUUCAUAACUGAUAUUCCCACCAAACUCUUCACCCAUAUGUUAGGUGAUGUAUUUUGGCCUAUUCAUGAACUUGAGAGUGGGUAUGGACAUUCAUAUACAUUGAAAAAUUAAAUAGUGUAAAAUGUGCUUAACCUCCCGACCCCUAGUUUAUUUCCAUGUCUUGUUUCUAGAACAACACUUCCUCUACAUAGACAUAGAGGAAGAUAGACCCUCUUAGCUUGUUCAAAGUUUUAUGAGUCAACGUAGAAAAACCAUCAUAUAAGUUAGGUGGGACUAAAUUAUUGGUUAACCAGGUUAGUAAUGACACAUGUCCACACAACUCAUGGUUAAUUAGGUUGGAAGGAGGGCAUGGUGGGGGUAGUGGGAGCAGAUAAUUGUAUGAUUGUACGUUUUUCCGUUAAGUUGUAUGGAAUGAUUGGUUAGAAUGAGCAAUUAGGGUUAUUUAAGUAUUAUUAUAGUGCAUAAGUUUGGGAGACAUUUAAUAAAUAGGUAGAGGGCCUACAUGCAUCGUGGCCAUUUAAAAGAAACUUAAAUACUUAGGAACUCUAUUUCAAAUACAUAGGUACUCUAGAUCGAUCCAAAACUGUAUCAACAUAUUAUAAUUUAUAAAAAGGUAGUGAUGGUUGGAGUCAAUAGCGCAUUGCUUUUACAACUCUAUAAAAAAAUUCCUUAUAUCCAUUAAUAAUUUCACAUCUUACACUUCCAAUACCUCUAGAUUACCUCCAUGUAAUAUUGUUCAUCCUUCUUCAAAUUAAAUACAUCACUGUAGCAAAAAAAAAACAUGCUGAUCAUUUUACGAAUAAAAGUGAAAUCCAACAAUAUACAAACUUGAGGGAAGUGAAUUCAUUAAGGAAAAAAAACAACAAAGUCAAUUACUAGUACAUGAAAUCAAGAUGGACCAUGAAGAAAGUAAACAGAAUGAAAAAAAUUGUAAAAUUUCCCAUAAGGGUUGCCCAUGGUGUAGCUAGCAUUACUAGAAUAGGUCUUGCAUGCUUACCCAAGAUUUCUGAGAAAGCAUUUACUUUUGUCAACCCUUACUUGAAAUCUUUGUAACAGUACUUAUUUUUAUCAUAAGCUUAAUUUGAAUCUGGUUAAAAAAAACGUUUAAAAACCUUCUAGAUCAACAAAUGUUAAAAACAGCCACCAAAUUUCAACAAUGCUUUUCUUUAAAUUUUCUUUCUUACAAAUAACAACAAAUUAACCACAAAUCUGGAUUUCAAACGUGGGGACAACAAAGACAUAGAAACCUAAAAAAACAAAACAAAACAAAUUCCCUAAAAAUGGGACCUUCAAAUGAAACCUUUUAAAGAAUUUAAAACUCAAGUUGGGUUUGAAAAUUUUUGUUAGGUAAUGAUAAAAUUGAAGACACCUAGAUGAGGAACAAAAUAAGCAUUUUACUAUGUGAGACCCUGGAAUUUAAGAGUUGAAAAAGUAAGGGAGUUGUUGGAAAAACAAGAUUUUUUGGACUAAAAAUAGCAAUUUUCCCAAUAUUUUGUAGAUUCUCAAGAAUCCCAAGUCUCUUUUCUCUUACUAAAGUGGAAAAGAAAACCAUCUGAAAUUGGUAAAAAGUCGAAGUUAGCACAUCAGGAUAAAGUGUAAGACAACUUGCCAACUUUGUUCAUGAGAACCAAAAUAGAUAGGAACUAAGAAGAUGCAAAAAAAAAAAAAUCUGUGGUCACCUAAAAUAAAGCUGCUAGCCUUUAUUUUAUAGAGAAACAAAAUGUAAAUUAUUAUAGAUAUUGAUGUGUUUGGGUACACAUAUGAUGAUAACACGCAAGUCUUGGGCAAAUUUGUAUUAUUGUAUUUCUUGAUAUUUUGUACCUCUCAUUUGUGUUUGAUAAUUAGUCUUGAAUGAGAGUAGAUGGAGAUGCUAAAAAUAUGUUGUUCACCCAGUGAAUAUCGUACUAAACCCAAUGUAUUCCUUUACAAAAUAUAUAUGAAUGUGUCUUCUAAAUUUAGAGUGAAGAUGCUAAUAAAUAUCAAGAAGUGUGUUAAAAAACAUCAACAAAACAAUAAAGGUUUUCAGCCACUAAACUUAAGAUUUCAUUGAUUUUUUAACUUCAAAAUACAUUAAGUGAAAAUUACAUGUUAAUUUGGAAGUAUAUAUAAUAUUAAUAUUAUUCUUUUUCUUGAUACUAAUUAGAAGGUGCUCGGGAAUGUUGAGCUAGUGAUGAUGUUUGAAUAUACCUACUAACUUAUAUAUCAUAUAAAAAAUAAGAUUAAUUAUAAAAUUAUAAAAAUUAAAAUAAUAUUUAAUUCUAACUAAUUGGUAUAUUGAAUAGCAUUUUUAAAAAUAGCAUAAUGAAUCAAAAUAUUUACAAAAUGUCAAAUGAUGUUAUUAUUAGAAAAAUUCUAUUGAUAUCUACCUUCCCGUAAUUUUGAAAAAUAUUGAUAGAAUUAUAUAUUUUAUAAAUAUUUUUAAUAAUUUUUAUUUUUAUUUCUAGGACUCUUCAUUAAAUUAUAUAUUUGCAUUCUUUUAAAUGAGGGUUGGAUGUACCUAAUUAUUCUAGAUCAUAUUUUAUUGUAAUAAACUAAAGUAAUGUUUAAAAAAGAAAAACAAAGUAGAAUAUAUAACGCACCAUCACAAUUAUUAUUAUUAAUUUCUUCCAAUUAAGCAUCAAAGUACACAUAUUGAAAACAAGAAUAAUAAUAGUGAUAAGGAUAGAAUUUAAAUUAGAUUGUAUUUUAAUAGCAAAACCCAAGUUGGAUGGUGUUUAUUAGUUCAAUUGUUCCAAAGGGUAAUUAAUCAUCAUGGCCUUUGCUAACUUUAGCUACACAUGGGAGAUAGUUAUGUGGUGUUAGCCACUCCUUUAUUUGCCAACACAAAUUAAUUAUGCAGACCAAUUAAGUGAGCCCCAAUUGCUAUUACCAUUCUCAAUCAACUUAAGAAUUAUUUAUUGUAAUCCAUUCGUUUACUGGUUUUUGUUUUUUUAAAUAAAGAACUUAUUUUUAAAAUUAUGUAGGAUAGUUGAAAAUGAAAAAGAGAAGCUGAAAGAAAUUAAAUACUAUUUUGUUUAAUAAAAUGGAUUAUCAAACAUAUAUAUAUCUAAAUUUCAACCCAUCAAAAUCUCUCAAUAGAUCUCCUUCAACGCACUCGAAUGUUAUUCAUUUCUUUGCAUCAUCCAUAGAUAGACUCUCUCUCUCCCUUUAGCUUCUUUUGGACCUCUCCUUUAAGUAAUUUCCACAAAAAAAAGAGAAAAAAAGAAGUUUAAGAAUUUUUGCUAAGUAAAUCCCAAGAGCUUGAAAUGGGAUCGAGCUUUUAAGGGUGUCUAGUGAUAGAAUUCAACAUGCACCGUGGAAACUUAGAUUGAAAUUUUGAUUAAAUCCUAAACUAAAAAUAAAUUGUAAUUUAGGGUUUUGAGAAUACUUACGUUUGAAGCUCAAGAUUUUUUUGAACAACCACUAAGGUUGAGCUAAUAACCUCCAAACUCAUAACCGAGUUGUGGGUCCAGUAGUUUGACUUUUUACUAUUUUGUCCGUCUUGACUAAUUUUGACAAGCAUGAGUCCACAUUCAUUUUCUCGAAAUUCAAAUCAUAUUUGAAUAUAUUAUAUUACCGGUCAAAGUUUGACUUUUCAAAGACCAAUUCUAAGGAUCCAUAGGCUUAAUUGCGGAUCCAGCACAAUAAUAAAAAAAAAUGUUUAAGUUGUUUCGUUUCAUCUUAUAUUUUUAUUUCAAUUUUCUAUUUUGUAUAAAGGGUCCCUCUAUGAUCAUAGCAAUUAAUAGAAAGGGAUAUUUGAAUUCUUACCAACUUGAUCUUGUUGCCCGAGGCAACAAGCAUGCAUGAACCAUUCUUGACACAAUUUUUAAAUAUUGGAUCGUCCGUUAUUUAAAUCGUGUAUCUCCGUCACUUGGAAAUAAGAAGUUCUAGUCCUGGAGGGAUAAUAUCAACCACUUGACGCCCAUUCGCUAGAUAUCAUAUAAAUUACAUAUAUGUAAUAUUAAUCUAAUAUACGUAGUGGCCCAAUUCUAUUUCUUUGCUUCAUAAUUCAUGUUGAUUGCAAUGAAUCUGAAAUCAAAUAAUCGAAAGGUCACUAAUCUUUUUUAGCAUUCAAAAGAAGUAAUUGAUUGACCAGUUGACAAAUGAUCUUGAAAAAUACAUGUGUGAAUGAAGAAGAGUUUAAAAGAUACCAAUACACCAUAAACCAACCUGGUGGAUUGAUAACUAAAGAAAAGUACACAAAAUAUUUUAUGUACAGAAAACAACACACUUCAAUAAUUUAUGAUGAUCCCUCCAAAUAAGCACAAGCUUAUCGACAAAUGUCUCUUCUUUUACGAAGAUCAUCGGGCCACGAAGCUUAUCCAGGAGAUGUUCUUAUUUUAUCUGAAGGGUUUGAAUUACCCCCCCCCCCCCCCCCCCGAUCGUAUUUCUCCCGAGAUUAAAGAAAAGAUGGGCAAUCUGUCGUUUCAGAGCUAUCGUCCCACUAAAAAAAAUAUUCUUGUGAUAGGUUCUAUUCCUCGCCAGAAAUAUAGUGCAAUCACCUUUCCUAUUCUUUCCUCGAACCCUGCGACUAAGAGAGAUGUUCACUUCUUAAAAUAUCCCAUAUACGUAAGCGGGAACAAGGAAGGGGUUAGAUUUAUCCCGACGGUGAAGAACUUUUUUCGUAAAAUCUCGUCUACUAAAAAUAAAAUAUUUGUAUUCCAAGACUGCUGAGCUUCUUGUGGAUCAAUAUCACUAGCCUUCUCUGCAUCAUUUACUAAAAUAGUGACCUCAUUAUGUACAUAUCUUAUUAUUUAUAAUUUAUAAUAAUUAUAUACACUAGACUCAUCGUGGCUAGUGGCUUACUCAGAAAUUGAAUCAAAUAGGCCUUUUUAACUCAGUGGUAGAGUAACGUCAUGGUCAGACGUAAGUCAUCGGUUCAAAUCCGAUAAGGGGCUUUGGCUUUUUUUCAUAAAACUCCAGCCAUAGUAUUCAUAUUUGAUUGAGGGGAGAAUAGACAACAUUUUUUUUUUUUUGUAAUAAAAGAAGUACAAACCGUAUAAUUUUAAUUUCAUUUUUUUUAUAAAAAAAUUAUCUUUAAUUAUACCAAGUUAUUAUUAUAAUGAAUAAUAUAAUAUAACUUUGAUUAUUUCUAUCCUUUUCGAGCUUCCGAGUAUGAAUUUGCAUUCAUAUCUUUAAUAUUUAAAUCUCAUUCAAACAUAAAGUUCUAUCUCUAAUCUAAAAUCCAACAAGCUAUAUCACAUAUACUCGUUUGUUUCUCUCUCCUCUCCUAAAUCAAACAAAUUAACUCAUUUCAUCAUACUGUUCUAAGUUUAUUCCAUAUGAGCUAGUAGGGGAACCUAAUGGCCUGUUUGGUAACAUUUCCGUUCGCUGUUUCUUGUUCCUUAUUUCCUAUUCCCGAUUUCCCGUUCCUUCUUUAUUUACAACAAGAAACAAGAAUGUGUUUGAUAACUGUUUAUGUUUCCUAUUUCUUGUUUCUUGAAAAAAAUAAACAAAAACAGAAAAUGUGUUUGAUAACUGUUUCUUGUUUCUUGAUUUUCUUUGAGAUUUAUUUUUUAUUUUAUUUACACUUAAUUCAAUUAAAUAUCAAACAAAAAUAACUGAGAAAAAAAAAACCAAUAGAAAUAAUUAAGAAACGGAAACGGGAGAAACUUUUUUUUUGUUCCCAAUAAUUCCUUAUAAAAUGAGAAACAUUUCUACUUUUUUUUAGAACAGAAAUUGGGAACGCUAUCAAACACCUCCAUUUCAGAAAAAAAAAAAUAAAAUAGAAACAAGAAACAGGGAACGAGAACGUUACCAAAUAGGUCCAAUAGACCUAUAGAUCAUGGGUUCCAACGAUCUGAGAUUAGCUGGCUAAACUCUUUUAGACCAGACUAAUCAACAUUUGUCAACUAAUAGAUCAUUGCACUAAAGUCUUGUAGUUGCACUCCCAUUACUAUAAAUAUAUUUUUGUCAAUUUGAUAUAACCAUGAUCAGUAAGUUAAUCUUUCGCUGGUUGUUCAUAACCUCGACGGGGUAAAAAUAUCGUUUUACCCCUAAGACUACAUCUUUCUCCUUAAGUCCCACUAAUCCACUAUUAAACAAUUGGUUUAAGGUCCAAUCUAUAAACUGAAUCCCUCUUGAGCCAAUGAGAGAGUGGGGCCCCUUAUUCAAGACUUGGAUUUAGCCUUAAGAGACAACCUAUCUACUAACCCUAAAGCGGGAGGAGUGAGUUCUGUUGUGCACCCUAUGUCUCUAUGUAAUAACCCAAUUUUUCUAACUAAGUCGAAGUCGUUAAUUUUUGACAAAAGACCUUGAUUGAUACAAAAUGAAAUAUAAGACUUUUGAAAACAUACAAUUGAGGAAAAACAAAUUUAAGUCGGGCCCGGUUUCAAAUAUUCUAAAACUUUAAAAUUAUUUUUUACUAAAAUAAUAGUUCGUAAGCUCAGUUCCAUCACAAUGUUUUAAACAUCAAAAACAUAAAGCGGAAGCAAAAAUAAUAUAUUCCCUAUGACAAUCACGCUUCCUUCCUGCCCCUCGCCGGUUUGCCACCCUCAACCUUUGCCUGAAAAAGUUAAACAUAAAAGGGUGAGGGUGAGUAUAAAUAUAUACAGUAAGAAACCCACUACUGGUCCCAUUAGAGGAAAAAUAAACUCUUAACUUCCUAUUGGGUAUACUUUAUACAAUCAGUCUUGUGAAAACUAAUAAUUUUUCCCUCAGUCCAUUCUAAACAUCUUAACAGUCGUUCACAGCUUAGUUAAACAUUUUCAUCACAUAAACUCCUC